rnacentral:rRNA from 1 species
UGGGGAAUAUUGGACAAUGGGCGCAAGCCUGAUCCAGCCAUGCCGCGUGUGUGAAGAAGGCCUUCGGGUUGUAAAGCACUUUUGUUGGGGAAGAAAAGCCAUGGGUUAAUACCCUGUGGUACUGACGGUACCCAAAGAAUAAGCACCGGCUAACUUCGUGCCAGCAGCCGCGGUAAUACGAAGGGUGCAAGCGUUACUCGGAAUUACUGGGCGUAAAGCGUGCGUAGGUGGUUUGUUAAGUCUGAUGUGAAAGCCCCGGGCUCAACCUGGGAAUGGCAUUGGAUACUGGCAGUCUAGAGUGCGGUAGAGGGUAGCGGAAUUCCCGGUGUAGCAGUGAAAUGCGUAGAUAUCGGGAGGAACAUCCGUGGCGAAGGCGGCUACCUGGACCAGCACUGACACUGAGGCACGAAAGCGUGGGGAGCAAACAGG